UACGAAGGUGGCAAGCGUUACUCGGAAUUACUAGGCGUAAAGGGCAGGUAGGUGGUUUGAUAAGUCUGUUGUGUAAGUUCCUGGCUUAACUGGGAGAGGUCAACGGAAACUAUCAGACUUGAGUAUAGGAGAGGUUACUGGAAUUCCCGGUGUAGCGGUGAAAUGCGCAGAGAUCGGGAGGAACACCAAUUGCGAAAGCAGGUAACUGGACUAUUACUGACACUAAGCUGCGAAAGCUAGGGGAGCAAACAGG
rnacentral:rRNA from 1 species